AACGAACGCUGGCGGCGUGCCUAACACAUGCAAGUCGAACGCGAAAAGCAGUAAUGCUGAGUAGAGUGGCGCACGGGUGAGUAACACGUAAAUGACAUGUCUUGGAGAGCGGGAUAACCACUCGAAAGGGUGGCUAAUACUGCAUAAGCCCACGUCUUUGGGGAUGAGGGAAAAGGGUCGGGACCUUUCGAGGCCGAUCGCUUCUUGAGUGGUUUGCGGCCCAUCAGGUAGUUGGCGAGGUAACGGCUCACCAAGCCUAAGACGGGUAGCUGGUCUGAGAGGAUGAUCAGCCACACUGGAACUGAGACACGGUCCAGACUCCUACGGGAGGCAGCAGUGGGGAAUCUUGCGCAAUGGGAGCAAUCCUGACGCAGCAACGCCGCGUGGGUGAUGAAGGUCUUCGGAUCGUAAAGCCCUGUCGAGGGAAGAUGCUUGGUGUCGCUAAUAUCGGCAUCAGGUGACGGUACCCUCAAAGGAAGCACCGG
rnacentral:rRNA from 1 species